CGAUAGCGUAUAUUAAAGUUGUUGCAGUUAAAAAGCUCGUAGUUGGAUUUCGGGGCAGCCUGGCUGGUCCGCCGCAAGGCGAGUACUGGUCAGCCGCCCUUCCUCUCGAAAGCCCCGACUGCUCUUUAUUGCAGUGGUCGGGUAGUUCGGGACGUUUACUUUGAAAAAAUUAGAGUGUUCAAGGCAGGCCUACGCCUGAAUACAUUAGCAUGGAAUAAUGGAAGAGGACCUCGGUCCUAUUUUGUUGGUUUCCAGGACCGAAGUAAUGAUUAAGAGGGACAGUUGGGGGCAUUCGUAUUUAAUUGUCAGAGGUGAAAUUCUCGGAUUUAUGAAAGACGAACAACUGCGAAAGCAUUUGCCAAGGAUGUUUUCAUCAA
rnacentral:rRNA from 1 species